rnacentral:rRNA from 1 species
AAAACGACUCUCGGCAACGGAUAUCUCGGCUCUCGCAUCGAUGAAGAACGUAGCGAAAUGCGAUACUUGGUGUGAAUUGCAGAAUCCCCGUGAACCAUCGAGUCUUUGAACGCAAGUUGCGCCCGAAGCCUUUGGGCCGAGGGCACGUCUGCCUGGGCGUCACGC